GGAGGGGUUCCCGAGCGGUCAAAGGGAUCAGACUGUAAAUCUGACGCGCAAGCUUCGGUGGUUCGAAUCCACCCCCCUCCACCA
rnacentral:tRNA from 1 species